UGCAGAGAAAUGCUUCAGAGAAUGGGAAUACGGUUGCUUAGCUUAUGAUAUCAGGAUUGCAAAUGUUCUCAUCAGAGCUUAUGCCAAAGAGGGAUUGCUAGAAAGGGCAGAAGAGCUGAAGGAGAGGGCGCACAAGAGAGGGGCCAAGCCUAAUGCUAAAACCUGGGAAAUAUUUUUGGGUUAUUAUUUGGAUAACGAGGAUAUCAAAUUGGCAGUUGAUUGUUUGGCCAAUGCAAUAUCUAUAGGUAGAGGGAAGGGUCAGAAGUAUGUUCCAUCACCUGAGAUUGUUGGGUCUUUCAUGGCACAUUUUGAGCAACAGAAGGAUGUUGAUAGAGCAGAAGGUUUUAUUGAGAUUUUGAAGAAGGCUGUGGAUAAUGUGGGGGCAAAUGUGUUCGAGUCAUUGAUAAGAACUUAUGCAGCUGCUGGAAGGACUAGCAGUGUGAUGCUUCGCCGACUGAAGAUGGAAAAUGUAGAGGUGAGUGAGGCAAGCCAGAAGUUGCUUGAAGUGAUAAGUGUGGAGUGAGUUUUAAUUGCUGUUUCGGUUUUAUUGUUAUAGUUU
rnacentral:misc_RNA from 1 species